AUCUUUUAUUCUCUACGUACGUCGCCUGGACUACUAUUCUGCCAGCAGCACUAAUGACGUCACUUUUCUAUGGACCUGAGCCCUAGGACCAUGCCCCAGGACUACCUGACAUGAUGACUCCUUGCUGUCCCCAGUCCACCUGGCAAUGCUGCUGCUCCAGUUUCAACUGGCCUGGGCCCUAGGACCAUGUCCCAGGACUACCUGACAUGAUGACUCCUUGCUGUCCCCAGUCCACCUGGCCAUGCUGCUGCUCCAGUUUCAACUGUUCUGUCUUACUAUUAUUCAACCAUGCUGGUCAUUUAUGAACAUUUGAACAUCUUGGCCACGUUCUGUUAUAAUCUCCACCCGGCACAGCCAGAAGAGGACUGGCCACCCCACAUAUGCUCUCUCUAAUUCUCUCUUUCUUUCUCUCUCUCGGAGGACCUGAGCCCUAGGACCGUGCCCCAGGACUACCUGACAUGAUGACUCCUUGCUGUCCCCAGUCCACCUGACUGUGCUGCUGCUCCAGUUUCAACUGUUCUGCCUUAUUAUUAUUCGACCAUGCUGGUCAUUUAUGAACAUUUGAACAUCUUGGUCAUGUUCUGUUAUAAUCUCUACCCGGCACAGCCAGAAGAGGACUGGCCACCCCACAUAGCCUGGUUCCUCUCUAGGUUUCUUCCUAGGUUUUGGCCUUUCUAGGGAGUUUUUCCUAGCCACCGUGCUUUUACACCUGCAUUGUUUGCUGUUUGGGGUUUUAGGCUGGGUUUCUGUACAGCACUUUGAGAUAUCAGCUGAUGUACGAAGGGCUAUAUAAAUAAAUUUGAUUUGAUUUGAUUUGAACUUUGUGGCAACAGUUAUGUUUCAGCAUGACAAUGCCUCCGUGCACAAACAAGGUCCACACAGAAGUGGUUUGUCGAGAUCGGUGUGGAAGAACUUGACUGGCUGCACAGAGCUUUGACCUCAACCCCAUUGAACACAUUUGGGAUGAACCGGAUCCAACUGCAAGCUUAAUCGCCCAACAUCAGUGCCCGACCUCACUAAUGCUCGUGGCUGGAUGGAAGCAAGUCCCCACAGCUAUGUUCCAACAUUUAGUGAAAAUCCUUCCCAGGAGAGUGGAGGCUGUUAUAGCAGCGAAGGGGGGACCAACUCCUUAUUAAUUCCCAUGAUUUUGGAAUGAGUUGUUCGACGAGCAGGUGUCGUUGUUGUGUAUUUAUCGGAAUAUCCUGCUUCCAGGAGAACGGUAAUGUCGCCUGGUGAGGCACAGACUCUUAGAUAUAACAACUCAACCCUCAUGUGGCCACAAGGAAGGACAGUUAAACUUGCCUUCUUUCAUUAAUAAAAAUUGAACAGGAAAAUCACAAUUUUGUUUCUUGCACACACCUUGAUGUGAAUUCAAUGCAUAAUGAAUUACAGUUUGACCAACAAUUUAGUUCAUGGAACAGCAGGGACUGUGAGGGGACACACACACAAACACGCACACUAACACUCACUUUAUACUUUUAGUUGUGUUGUUUGUAUUAUUAUUUUGUUGUUGUAUUGUUUAUCGUUGAAUUUGACAUUUGUGUGACUGUCCUUGUCUAUCAGUGUAUCAGUUACUAGUCAUGAUUUGUGUUUUGUGUGGACCCCAGGAAGAAUAGCUGCUGCUUCGUCAAAAGCAGGGGAUCCGAAUAAACCAAUUAGAUGAAACCAGCUGAUAAUGA